rnacentral:rRNA from 1 species
AGAGUUUGAUCCUGGCUCAGGAUGAACGCUGGCGGCGUGCCUAAUACAUGCAAGUCGAGCGAACGGACGAGAAGCUUGCUUCUCUGAUGUUAGCGGCGGACGGGUGAGUAACACGUGGAUAACCUACCUAUAAGACUGGGAUAACUUCGGGAAACCGGAGCUAAUACCGGAUAAUAUUUUGAACCGCAUGGUUCAAAAGUGAAAGACGGUCUUGCUGUCACUUAUAGAUGGAUCCGCGCUGCAUUAGCUAGUUGGUAAGGUAACGGCUUACCAAGGCAACGAUGCAUAGCCGACCUGAGAGGGUGAUCGGCCACACUGGAACUGAGACACGGUCCAGACUCCUACGGGAGGCAGCAGUAGGGAAUCUUCCGCAAUGGGCGAAAGCCUGACGGAGCAACGCCGCGUGAGUGAUGAAGGUCUUCGGAUCGUAAAACUCUGUUAUUAGGGAAGAACAUAUGUGUAAGUAACUGUGCACAUCUUGACGGUACCUAAUCAGAAAGCCACGGCUAACUACGUGCCAGCAGCCGCGGUAAUACGUAGGUGGCAAGCGUUAUCCGGAAUUAUUGGGCGUAAAGCGCGCGUAGGCGGUUUUUUAAGUCUGAUGUGAAAGCCCACGGCUCAACCGUGGAGGGUCAUUGGAAACUGGAAAACUUGAGUGCAGAAGAGGAAAGUGGAAUUCCAUGUGUAGCGGUGAAAUGCGCAGAGAUAUGGAGGAACACCAGUGGCGAAGGCGACUUUCUGGUCUGUAACUGACGCUGAUGUGCGAAAGCGUGGGGAUCAAACAGGAUUAGAUACCCUGGUAGUCCACGCCGUAAACGAUGAGUGCUAAGUGUUAGGGGGUUUCCGCCCCUUAGUGCUGCAGCUAACGCAUUAAGCACUCCGCCUGGGGAGUACGACCGCAAGGUUGAAACUCAAAGGAAUUGACGGGGACCCGCACAAGCGGUGGAGCAUGU